rnacentral:rRNA from 1 species
CAGCAGCCGCGGUAAUACGAAGGGGGCUAGCGUUGAUCGGAAUUACUGGGCGUAAAGGGCGCGUAGGCGGCUGGAUAAGUCAGGCGUGAAAUUCCCGGGCUUAACCUGGGGACUGCGCUUGAGACUGUUUGGCUAGAGGACAGGAGAGGGUCGUAGAAUUCCCAGUGUAGAGGUGAAACUCGUAGAUAUUGGGAAGAACACCGGUGGCGAAGGCGGCGACCUGGCCUGUUACUGACGCUGAGGCGCGACAGCGUGGGGAGCAAACAGGAUUAGAUACCCCGGUAGUCCCUGUCUCUUAUAC